AACAUCAUCUGACAAAGCAACUGCUGGAAAAGACUUUAACUUGACUUGUAGUUAUGAUGGAUACUUUGUGUUCGUGAUUAUUUACAUAUAUGACAAGUAUGAAUGUGCCAUGGGGGUUGAUGGUACUUGUAGACUAUAUUAUAGCAAUCCAAACUUCAAUUGUACCUGCAACUAUAAAUCUAUCAUUUUGACGAUACCUGGAACAUUUGAUAUAGACUCCUUACAUGGAUCUCUUUGGACAUGUCGAGGUAUCAAUAGAGAUGAAAUCUCAAAUACGGUGCAGCUGUAUGUAUAUGUGCCAAUUACCCAAGUCAAUAUAACAUCAACUCCAUAUGAUUUAAAUCCAACAGAAAUUUUGUCCGGUUCAAGUCAACACUUUACAUGUACAACAAACGCCGGUCGGCCAUCGUCAAGGAUACAGUGGUAUCUUUCUGGUGCAAAUAUUACUGAUGCUGCUGUUACGCAGGCUGACGGAUGUAAUCCUGGGUGUGAUGGAAAAGUCACAUCGUCAAGUGUUUUUGAAUACAUCGGUAAUUCAACCGACGCUGGAAAGACAUUUUUUGCACAGCUGUAAAUUUUGAGGGACAAAGUGUCAGAUCAUUUAACCGAAGUAUUGAUAUUUUGUACAAACCAUUGAUCUUCAAUAUACCAGAUUACAGCAUAACAGAAGGAUCUAAUCUGACAAUUACACCUUCUAUUGAUGCUAAUCCAUACCCUGUAUCUGUAUGGUGGACUCAUCAAAAUGAAACCGGUUUCAGGUGUAAUGAUUCGAAUCUUAUAAUCAGUAACAUACAGAGAAAUUCAAGUGGUCACUACAUCUGUCAUGCAAUGAACACUAUAACAGCUUCAGGACAUCUCCCACAGAACAGGACAUCAGAGGAAAUUUUUAAUGUCAAUGUUCAAUAUUCACCGUCAGUUCACAUUGAACCUCACUAUAUUCCAUUCAUCGUGCAAAAAGGACAA